AUCUAAACACAUACAGAUGAUUAAAAAUAACACAAAAUUCAAAAUGAACAAAUGGGGAUGUUUCCCCUCAUAGAAACAUGAUGAAGCAGCAAUCAUCUUCCUAUUCAAGUUCAUUCAAGACAAAUUGUGGCAGAUUGUGGUGUUUUGCUGUCCCCCUGUGGCCAUAAAUGUAGUUUCAUUGCGACAGAAAUCUGUUGUGCGAUUACAUUGAUUUGCAGCCUGACAUGGCAGGAGAUGUGAAGCAAUCAUGCACAAAUGGACAGAAAGGAAUUCUACUUUCCCUUGUGGUGGUUUUGGUUUGUCUAAAGGAGGAGAAAAUGAAUAAGAAGACUGGAGAUGGCUACAACAAAAUCUUCGGCUCCUCAGAUGCAUCACAAAAUAAUCUUCACCAACCUCAUGCCUUCCAGGUGCUUCGAACUACAACUCUCAACAUCCCUGAUCAAGAAUGUGUUGGUUGAAGCUGUUGGCAGUCCAAAAUAUCCGGAGGGUAUUUAUUUAUUUAAUGUAUAUCCUGCCUUUCUCUUUGUAUUGAUUAAAGGCCAGGUAUAUACCAGGUUAGAAAAGGCCACUGUCUCAACACACAGCAGAAAUAUCCACACAUAUCCAAGAUUCACAACUGGGCAGUAGGAUAACAUACUACUUUUUAGCAAGAACCAAUUUAAUGACAUGUUGAAGUUAACCAUAACCAUGCAGUGUUAGGAUGUUGAUCUUUGUCCCUGAGCACCAUCCCUACUAAUGCUCAAUUGUGAAUGGCUUAAGCACGGGAUUGCAUUCAUUCAUAAAAUCAACUUUCCAAACCUUUCGGUCUCUCUUUGAACAACAUUUCUGAGGUAAGCAAAAGUGAAAUUUCAUGAGCAGGAAUGAAAUUGCAAUGACAGGGUUUACCCCUGCUUCUAUUCUCUCUUCAGUAGACUGUAACCAUGUGUACAGACCUUGUAGGUACCAACUGUAUGAGACUGUUUGCAUUAACUGAGAAGCCUGAAAAAGGAAGAGCCCCCACCUUAUGGGCAAGUGAUCUCAUGGGCUAAUGAAUGGAUUGCAGGUGGACAACAUGAGCAGAUUUUGAAGCAUACAGACAGUGGAAUCAAUGUGUCUAUGCUAAGGGUUUUGUUACAACCCACCUCCACAAAUAUUCACUCAACUCAGAUACAUUAUCUAAGUUCGAUUUUAUGAGGACGCUUGUGCUUUCAUUUGGCUUUGCUUGCAAGUUGUCAUUUUGCCUUCCUAAGCACAAUAUUUAUGGAAGAACCGAAAGCUGUCGAGCUACUCGCUACCAGCAUAAGUCGUGAGAUUCAUUACUUCUAUAUACCAUAGUUAUUUGAGUCUAAUGCUCACCAUUUUAGGCUAAAUUGCAUUGCUAAAAUUGAGGUGAACAUUAGAUUCAAUGACAUGUUAGAAUUGCGCACCUAUUUGAGGUGUUGGGCAAGAGAUACCAGCUGGGGACAGAGGAGGGCAAGGCAGCAGUCGCCGUGAAAAGGCUGGUGGGAAGCUGAUGGUGGCAGCAAAAAGACUCAUAAGCCUUUCCGUGGUCAUCACAACCUCACAUGCGACAGCAAAUCCUUUUUUUGUAUGCACACUUUCAAAAUUGAAAUGCACAUUACAUUUGAUGGUGCAUAAUAUUCAAAUAAAUACAGGUAUGUA